CACAGCCACUUAACUGGGACUUAACUGGAGAGAUAACGGUAGGGCCAUAGAAGGGAACGAAAAUUAAAAGAAGAUCAAAAAAGGCGUUUCAGUUUUCCAGGGCCAUAGAAGGAACUUUCAUUUGUUCCAGGACCUUAGAAGGAAUUUUCCCCAGAAUUUGGCCCCCAUAGCACGAAUUGAUUCGGUUUGGGGGUUUUCCAUCUAUUUUCUCAAUUUUGCAUCUUUUCCCUUUUCUUUUCCUUUCCCAGCCCACUUGAAAUUCCAAUCUUGCCCCUACCCCUUGGACACCUUAUCUCUCUCACGAUUGAAUCAGGCCACGGACCUCUCGUUCUUUCUCGUCAAGGACGAUGCUCAUCCUGGCCGGCGUUCUCCCAUCCGCCGCUGCCGUCCCUCUCCCAUCCAGCGCUCUCCCAUGUCGCUCCUCCCGUUGCACCUCUCGAGCCCCCCUCGUUCCAUUAUUGGGCAUGUCACAGCCAUCCGGAGCCGCGAGCAGCGGUGCUAGGGUUAGGCGCGGCCGGGCGGCGCUUGCUGCCGCGCCAGCAAUGCUACUUGGUGCCUAGUUCAUGUCUCAAGAAGAGUAUAUGAAGCUUAUCUCCUGGAGGAAGAAAUUUACUGGGCAAAAUCUUUUGGUGAAAUGCCGUCCCCGAAUUAAUGCAUGGAUUGGAAAAGCUACAUAUGGGAUUAGACGAGGUCAAGAAGGAGAUGAUAGCGAUGAACAAUAGGGAGCCUACAAUAAAUAGAUGAUGUGCUGCUUGUACUGAAGUAGAAUUCAUAUAUUGUUUCCCUAUCAUGAAAAGAUGGUAGACUGAAAAGUAUGGGUGGAGGAAAUCUUCCAUCUUAGGAUUUCUUGUAGUAAUUAUGAGUGCCAAAGCAUGUGGGCACGACUUUCCUGAAA